rnacentral:rRNA from 1 species
AACGAACGCUGGCGGCGUGCCUAACACAUGCAAGUCGUGCGAGAAAGUUCCUUCGGGAGCGAGUAAAGCGGCGCACGGGUGAGUAACACGUAGGUAACCUGCCCCCCAGUCUGGAACAACUAGAGGAAACUCUAGCUAAUGCCGGAUGAGACCACGAUCCCUUCGGGGGUUGCGGCCAAAGAUGGCCUCUACUUGUAAGCUAUCGCUGAGGGAUGGGCCUGCGGGCCAUUAGCUUGUUGGUGAGGUAACGGCUCACCAAGGCUGUGAUGGCUAGCUGGUCUGAGAGGAUGACCAGCCACACUGGGACUGAGACACGGCCCAGACUCCUACGGGAGGCAGCAGUGGGGAAUAUUGCGCAAUGGGCGAAAGCCUGACGCAGCGACGCCGCGUGGGUGAGUGAAGG